GACGAACGCUGGCGGCGUGCUUAACACAUGCAAGUCGAACGGUGAAGCGCCUUCCUUUUUGGUGGGUGUGGAUGAGUGGCGAACGGGUGAGUAACACGUGAGUAACCUGCCCCCUUCUUCUGGAUAACCGCAUGAAAGUGUGGCUAAUACGGGAUAUUCUGGGUCUGUCGCAUGAUGGGUCUGGGAAAGAUAUUGUUUCGGUGGGGGAUGGGCUCGCGGCCUAUCAGCUUGUUGGUGGGGUGAUGGCCUACCAAGGCGGUGACGGGUAGCCGGCCUGAGAGGGUGGACGGCCACACUGGGACUGAGACACGGCCCAGACUCCUACGGGAGGCAGCAGUGGGGAAUAUUGCACAAUGGGCGCAAGCCUGAUGCAGCGACGCCGCGUGAGGGAUGGAGGCCUUCGGGUUGUGAACCUCUUUCGCCAGUGAAGCAGGCCUGCCUCGUUUGUGGGUGGGUUGACGGUAGCUGGAUAAGAAGCGCCGGCUAACUACGUG
rnacentral:rRNA from 1 species